GUGCUUGCUUUGGAAGCACAUAUAUUAAAAUUGGAAUAAUACAGAGAAGAUUAGCAUGGCCCCUGUGCAAGGAUGACAUGCAAAUUCGUGAAGCGUUCCAUAUUUUU